rnacentral:rRNA from 1 species
GCUGGCGGCGUGCCUAACACAUGCAAGUCGAACGCCCUUGGCAACAAGGGAGUGGCGGACGGGUGAGGAACACGUGGGUACCUACCCUUGGGUGAGGAAUACCGGCGAGAAAUCGCCGACAAUACCGCAUAGCCUUCUCUUGCGAGAAGGAAAGUCCUUCGGGACGCCUGAGGAUGGGCCUGCGCCUGAUUAGCUAGUUGGUGAGGUAAGAGCUCACCAAGGCGACGAUCAGUAGCUGGUCUGAGAGGAUGGUCAGCCACACUGGGAUUGAGAACGGCCCAGACUCCUACGGGGGGCAGCAGUGAGGAAUUUUCGUCAAUGAGGGCAACCCUGAACGAGCAACGCCGCGUGCAGGAAGACGCUUUUCGGAGUGUAAACUGCUUUUCUGAGGGACGAGAACGGACGGUACCUCAGGAAGAAGCCCCGGCUAACUACGUGCCAGCAGCCGCGGUAAUACGUAGGGGGCGAGCGUUGUCCGGAGUUACUGGGCGUAAAGGGCACGCAGGCGGUCAUGUAAGUCUGUUCUGACAGCUCCUGGCUCAACCGGGAGAGGCGAACGGAAACUGUAUGACUUGAGGACUUCAGAGGGAC